GAUGAACGCUGGCGGCGUGCCUAAUACAUGCAAGUCGAGCGAAUGGAUUGAGAGCUUGCUCUUAUGAAGUUAGCGGCGGACGGGUGAGUAACACGUGGGUAACCUGCCCAUAAGACUGGGAUAACUCCGGGAAACCGGGGCUAAUACCGGAUAACAUUUUGAACCGCAUGGUUCGAAAUUGAAAGGCGGCUUCGGCUGUCACUUAUGGAUGGACCCGCGUCGCAUUAGCUAGUUGGUGAGGUAACGGCUCACCAAGGCAACCAUGCGUAGCCGACCUGAGAGGGUGAUCGGCCACACUGGGACUGAGACACGGCCCAGACUCCUUCGGGAGGCAGCAGUAGGGAAUCUUCCGCAAUGGACGAAAGUCUGACGUAGCAAGGCCGCGUGAGUGAUGAAGGCUUUCGGGUCGUAAAACUCUGUUGUUAGGGAAGAACAAGUGCUAGUUGAAUAAGCUGGCACCUUGACGGUACCUAACCAGAAAGCCACGGCUAACUACGUGCCAGCAGCCGCGGUAA
rnacentral:rRNA from 1 species